rnacentral:rRNA from 1 species
GAAUAUUGCACAAUGGGCGCAAGCCUGAUGCAGCCAUGCCGCGUGUAUGAAGAAGGCCUUCGGGUUGUAAAGUACUUUCAGCGGGGAGGAAGGGAGUAAAGUUAAUACCUUUGCUCAUUGACGUUACCCGCAGAAGAAGCACCGGCUAACUCCGUGCCAGCAGCCGCGGUAAUACGGAGGGUGCAAGCGUUAAUCGGAAUUACUGGGCGUAAAGCGCACGCAGGCGGUUCGUUAAGUCAGAUGUGAAAUCCCCGGGCUCAACCUGGGAACUGCAUCUGAUACUGGCAAGCUUGAGUCUCGUAGAGGGGGGUAGAAUUCCAGGUGUAGCGGUGAAAUGCGUAGAGAUCUGGAGGAAUACCGGUGGCGAAGGCGGCCCCCUGGACGAAGACUGACGCUCAGGUGCGAAAGCGUGGGGAGCAAACAG